rnacentral:lncRNA from 10 species
AGGAGUAUCUGCAGAGGGAACCCUGAGGUGAUUGGCAUCAACCAUGUGGGGUGAAGUUGCCUGGCUGCUUGACCUUUGUGGGCUGCCAUGGUGGAUCACUUGAGGUCAGGAGUUCAAGACCAGCCUGGCCAACAUGGUGAAACCCUGUCACUACUAAAAAUACAAAAAAAUUAGCUGGGUGUGGUGGUCGGUGCCUUUAAUCCCAGCUACUUGGGAGGCUGAGGCAGGAGAAUCACUUGAACCUGGGAGAAAGAGGUUGCAAUGAGUGGAUAUU